UAGAGAGACUGCAUCACUCGGUCCUUGGCUAGCUAGGCCUCACUCAUCCUAUGUUAGAGAGACUGCAUCACUCGGUCCUUGGCUAGCUAGGCCUCACUCAUCCUAUGUUAGAGAGACUGCAUCACUCGGUCCUUGGCUAGCUAGGCCUCACUCAUCCUAUGUUAGAGAGACUGGAUCACUCGUUCCUUGGCUAGCUAGACCUCACUCAUCCUAUGUUAGAGAGACUGGAUCACUCGGUCCUUGGCUAGGUAGACCUCACUCAUCCUAUGUUAGAUAGACUGCAUCACUCGUUCCUUGGCUAGCUAGGCCUCACUCAUCCUAUGUUAGAGAUACUGCAUCACUCGGUCCUUGGCUAGGUAGGCCUCACUCAUCCUAUGUUAGAGAGACUGCAUCACUCGUUCCUUGGCUAGCUAGACCUCACUCAUCCUAUGUUAGAGAGACUGGAUCACUCGGUCCUUGGCUAGGUAGGCCUCACUCAUCCUAUGUUAGAGAGACUGCAUCAC